ensembl:lncRNA
GGAAACUCAACACAAAACAGAAUGUUGGCGUCUAGCUUUCUACCCAUUAAGGAAACACACGGUGGAAAAGACUGAGUUGACCCAAGGGCGCAGUGGCUGCCUCUCCCCUGGCAGUGUGGACCAUCUAGCCGUCUUGCUCCAGGCAGAGCAAGACUUCUGAGACCAGUCUCCUCUGUCCGAUAUUUCUUUAACCUAUUGAAAGUUCCUAGUCAAAAUAACCUUGGAAAAAGUGCCCAACGAAUAGGAGCUCAGCGACUGGCUUGCUGCCACCAUGGAAUGAAAGUGUACUGGGGCAAAUGGAGAUCUGGUCAGGAGGACACGUUGGUUUCAGCUUCGGUGCUGCCUCCUUGAGGCUGAUGCAAUUGUGUGUUUAAGGGUUCAACGUUGCGUCCAGAUGCAGCAAGAAAGAGGGCCAUAACCCAUCACUGUUUUCUGAGAAGGUACCUCACAUAAAUAGAGGACUUCCCUGGUGACUUAGUGGUUAACAAGUCUGCCUGCCAAUACAGAAAACUUGGCUUUGAUCCCUGGGUCGUGAAGAUCCCCUGGAGAAGGAAAUGGCAGCCGACUCCAGUAUUCUUGCCUGGAAAAUCUCAUGGACGGAGGAACCUGGUGGUCUACAGUCUAUGGAGUCGAAAAAGAGUCGGACACAAAUUAGUGACUAAGCAACGGCAACAACAACAUAUAAAUAGAAGCAUACAAUUUUUGUCUUUUUGUGUCUGAGUAACUUUGGCUUCUGUCCCGGAUAUUGUGAAUGUUAUGUUACGC